rnacentral:rRNA from 1 species
AGUGAACGCUGGCGGUAGGCCUAACACAUGCAAGUCGAACGGCAGCACAGUAAGAGCUUGCUCUUACGGGUGGCGAGUGGCGGACGGGUGAGGAAUACAUCGGAAUCUACUUUUUCGUGGGGGAUAACGUAGGGAAACUUACGCUAAUACCGCAUACGACCUACGGGUGAAAGCAGGGGAUCUUCGGACCUUGCGCGAUUGAAUGAGCCGAUGUCGGAUUAGCUAGUUGGCGGGGUAAAGGCCCACCAAGGCGACGAGCCGUAGCUGGUCUGAGAGGAUGAUCGGCCACACUGGAACUGAAACACGGUCCAGACUCCUACGGGAGGCAGCAGAGGGGAAUAUUGGACAAUGGGCGCAAGCCUGAUCCAGCCAUACCGCGUGGGUGAAGAAGGCCUUCGGGUUGUAAAGCCCUUUUGUUGGGAAAGAAAAGCAGCAGGUUAAUACCCCGCUGUUCUGACGGUACCCAAAGAAUAAGCACCGGCUAACUUCGUG